rnacentral:rRNA from 1 species
AUUGAACGCUGGCGGCAUGCCUAACACAUGCAAGUCGAACGGGGCAGCAAUGCCUAGUGGCGGACGGGUGAGGAAUACGUAGGAAUCUGCCCUUAAGUGGGGGAUAACCAGGGGAAACCCUGACUAAUACCGCAUGAUCUCUUCGGAGCAAAGAGGGGGACCGCAAGGCCUCUCGCUUCUGGAUGAGCCUACGUCUGAUUAGCUAGUUGGUAGGGUAAAGGCCUACCAAGGCGACGAUCAGUAACUGGUCUGAGAGGAUGAUCAGUCACACCGGAACUGAGACACGGUCCGGACUCCUACGGGAGGCAGCAGUGGGGAAUAUUGGACAAUGGGCGAAAGCCUGAUCCAGCCAUGCCGCGUGUGUGAAGAAGGUCUUCGGAUUGUAAAGCACUUUAAGUCGGGAGGAAGGACUGUAGGCUAAUACCUUGCAGUUUUGACGUUACCGACAGAAUAAGCACCGGCUAGCUUCGUGCCAGCCGCCGCGGUAAUAC